UCUAUCUUGCUCUCUGCCUCACAAGGACACCCUACAUAACUUAUAAUAAUGAAAUGAAAAGGAAAUGGGUUGACCGACUCACAGAACCAACUCUCUUCUUGGCAUUUAAGAGUGCUACAACAUAUUUCUCUUUCUAUCCUCUUCAAAGUGCUUAACAUUUUUAUUUUUUAUUUUCUGGAUUCUAGAGCCUUCUGGGAUACCAGAUCACUCCCAACAACUGUUACAGAGAAUUAUGAGAAGCUGAGCAAAUAUGCUGUAUAUAAUAAUUACAUGAGAACAACCAACUGGCAGUGCACACAGCGAAGUCCUCCCAAGCUACUAGGAUGAUCAGAGCUGGAGCAGCCAUCUUGCACCCAGAGAGCAAAGCCAAGCUGAGAUGGCAGAGCAACAAGACACAGGGUGCCCGGGUGCCCAGUGCCACAAAGCUGCUGUACCCAGCCUAUUCUCUUCAUGUUCAGACUGUUGGAAGAGAGAAAGAUAACUAUAAUUGGGACUGAGGGAUAGAAAUGUCUCCUACCAAAAUCGUGAAGUUCAUAAGUAGCACAAUUGAAAAGAAAGCCAACCUAGCUUCUAAAAUCUGCACCUGGAUCCUUUCUGCAUUGCCAACUGCCAACUGGCGAUUGAGAUGGUGACACUGACGGUCAAGAGGCUGUGGAAGAUGACAAGAAGAAGAAGGUGGGGUGCAGGGAAUGUGCAGGCUUCUGUUAGACCUUCCACCACCUUCUUGGGACUUGGGCUUUUAAAAUAAUGUAGAAGCUAAAAACAAACGGCAACUCAUGAGCGCCCUGAAGCAAAUUUCCAUUUCUUUAUGAUUCUACCCUACCCAGGUCACUUUGUGUUUGUAAAAAGCAUCAUGAUCACUUGCAAUACUGUCUGAUUAGAAGCUGAAUCUAUUUCCCUUUGCAAAUAUGAAGUUUCCCAUAUAUGAAAAUGUUAUAGAAAAUGACCUGUAA
rnacentral:lncRNA from 1 species